rnacentral:rRNA from 1 species
AGCCUCAGCACUUGUAUUCGACUCGUGCAGGGGAUUUCCAGUGGCGAACGGUGAGUAACGCGUUGGUGACCUGCCCCGAAGAGAGGAAUAACAGUUCGAAAGGACUGCUAAUACCUCAUGUGGUCAUGAGACUUAGAACCUCAUGUCUAAAGGAGUAAUCCACUUUGGGAGGGACCUGCGUCCCAUCAGCUAGUUGGUAGGGUAACGGCCUACCAAGGCAACGACGGGUAGGGGACCUGAGAGGGUGGCCCCCCACAAUGGAACUGAAACACGGUCCAUACACC